GACGAACGCUGGCGGCGUGCCUAAUACAUGCAAGUUGAGCGAUGAAGAUUGGUGCUUGCACCAAUUUGAAGAGCAGCGAACGGGUGAGUAACGCGUGGGGAAUCUGCCUUUGAGCGGGGGACAACAUUUGGAAACGAAUGCUAAUACCGCAUAACAACUUUAAACAUAAGUUUUAAGUUUGAAAGAUGCAAUUGCAUCACUCAAAGAUGAUCCCGCGUUGUAUUAGCUAGUUGGUGAGGUAAAGGCUCACCCAGGCGAUGAUACAUAGCCGACCUGAGAGGGUGGUCGGCCACAUUGGGACUGAGACACGGCCCAAACUCCUACGGGAGGCAGCAGUAGGGAAUCUUCGGCAAUGGACGAAAGUCUGGCCGAGCAACGCCGCGUGAGUGAAGAAGGUUUUCGGAUCGUAAAACUCUGUUGGUAGAGAAGAACGUUGGUGAGAGUGGAAAGCUCAUCAAGUGACGGUAACUACCCAGAAAGGGACGGCUAACUACGUG
rnacentral:rRNA from 1 species